rnacentral:rRNA from 1 species
CUAACUACCGCAUACGAUCUAGUGGAUAGAAAGCGAGGGGACCGCAAGGCCUUGCGCGUUUGGAGCGGCCGAUGGCAGAUUAGGUAGUUGGUGGGAUAAAAGCUUUACCAAGCCGACGAUCUGUAGCUGGUCUGAGAGGACGACCAGCCACACUGGGACUGAGACACGGCCCAGACUCCUACGGGAGGCAGCAGUGAGGAAUAUUGGUCAAUGGGCGCAAGCCUGAACCAGCCAUGCCGCGUGCAGGAAGAAUGCCCUAUGGGUUGUAAACUGCUUUUAUUUAGGAAUAAACCUUACUACGUGUAGUAAGCUGAAGGUACUGAAUGAAUAAGCACCGGCUAACUCCGUG